AGUCGCCUCAGCCGCGGUGUGAGGGAGCGGGAGUCUUCCUUAGCUUCUCCGCCAUGGGUGUCGCUUCGUAGCCGGGCUGCUCCGGGAAAGGCCUCGUACAGCACGCAUUCACCAGAAUCCUGUCAGCUUUCCUCUUCUCAUCCAGACGCCUGGCCAGGAUCCUCGAUAAGACCGUGACCCCCAACUUGGACACCCCAUAAGGUUCCCAGAUGAUGUGACAGCUACUGGUCUCCAGCCACACCUUGAGAACACUUGGCUUUGACUACCACUUCUUAAACUUAAAGGGUCUUCUCUGUCGCCCAGGCUGGAGUGCAGUGCUGCAGUCGUGGCUCACUGUAGCGUCAGUCUCCUGAGCUCAGGAAAACUAGACAAUCCACCAGCCCAGGAGGGGACAAGCAGGCUUAUUCCUCCUCCUCGUCAUCUCUGGCUCCAGCCCCACCCUGGCCCUUGCUGGCAUUCUUCCUCUUCACGUGGCUGGGGUUGGCCACCCCAAUAGGGAAGCAGAGGGAGAAGUCAAUGUGCUUCUGGGAAUCCAGGCGGACAGUGAAGAACAGGAUAUUUACCACCUGCUCACGGACACGGAUAUGACACUGUUGAAUCAGCACAUGAGCGUGGCGGAUGGACUUAGCCAAGCCAAGCUUGAAGACCUGGGUCUGUAG
rnacentral:lncRNA from 1 species